rnacentral:misc_RNA from 1 species
GAUGAAGAACGUAGCGAAAUGCGAUAAGUAAUGCGAAUUGCAGAAUUCAGUGAAUCAUCGAAUCUUUGAACGCACAUUGCGCCCCUUGGUAUUCCAUGGGGCAUGCCUGUUCGAGCGUCAUUUGUACCUUCAAGCUCUGCUUGGUGUUGGGUGUUUGUCUCGCCUCUGCGUGUAGACUCGCCUCAAAACAAUUGGCAGCCGGCGUAUUGAUUUCGGAGCGCAGUACAUCUCGCGCUUUGCACUCAUAACGACGACGUCCAAAAGUACAUUUUUACACUCUUGACCUCGGAUCAGGUAGGGAUACCCGCUGAACUUAAGCAUAUCAAUAAGCGGAGGA